UGCCAGACUCCUACGGGAGGCAGCAGUGGGGAAUAUUGCACAAUGGGGGAAACCCUGAUGCAGCAACGCCGCGUGAGUGAAGAAGUAUUUCGGUAUGUAAAGCUCUAUCAGCAGGGAAGAAAAUGACGGUACCUGAGUAAGAAGCCCCGGCUAACUACGUGCCAGCAGCCGCGGUAAUACGUAGGGGGCAAGCGUUAUCCGGAUUUACUGGGUGUAAAGGGAGCGUAGACGGCGAUACAAGUCUGAAGUGAAAGCCCGGGGCUCAACCCCGGGACUGCUUUGGAAACUGUGUUGCUGGAGUGCUGGAGAGGCAAGCGGAAUUCCUAGCGUAGCGGUGAAAUGCGUAGAUAUUAGGAAGAACACCAGUGGCGAAGGCGGCUUGCUGGACAGUAACUGACGUUGAGGCUCGAAAGCGUGGGGAGCAAACAGGAUUAGAUACCCCGGUAAG
rnacentral:rRNA from 1 species